AUCGUGCUGGCGCGCUGCGAUCGGUGGAUGGGCGUCGCGUUUGGAACAACGGAAAGAGGAAGAGGACACUGUGCAAGUAGCGACGACGACGUGUGUCGACGUACGGGACGACGAAUGUCGAGGUAUCUCAGUCUGCGAAGGAGAUGCGCGUCCCAGGGGACCGCGGGGCAAUGAGUAACGACGAGUUGGCCGGAACGCGGGUCAUGAGUAGCACAAAAUGAGAAGGUCUUAUAACACUACGGUGGAGGCCCGAACAACGGACUGCCUCGAAGCCACGAGACGUCUGCAUAAGAGCGUGACGGAAAUCGUCAAGAAAUUGGAUGAGCAAAAGAAUCGUGCCUUGACGGUAAGCGACAUAUUUGUCCCAUCUGGGGAAAUUCAACGUAUGAAAUUAAAGGAUUAUUGUGAGAGGCUGAUACUGAAAGAUCCUGUUGGAAACGUACAUAAGAUAGAAGAAUUACUUUGGAGAAAAGCCUUUUACGAUGUUGUAUAUGCAGCCAAAAAAUUACGGAAGGGUAAUAUCUGGAAUGAUUUGGAAAAAAUGUUGCUAUCGGUCCAUUUGGAAGUGGGUGUGGGAUAUUAUCAUCAUCUGAUACUGAGACUACAAAUGGAAUAUGAUCUAGAUCUUGUUGGUGUUGUCGAUUUUGCGUUUAUUCAGAAUGAAAGUAUUUCAUCAUAUGCAAGAAUUAAAACCGGGCAAUCUAAAACUCAUACCAAGGAAGUCAAACAAUGCGUCGUGCGCUUGAUUCAUCGAAGUUUAGUAUGUCUUGGAGACCUGAGCAGGUACAAAUUAGAAAUAAAUUCAAACUGGGAUCCAAUGAUAGCAAACAGGUACUAUAAGAUGGCUAUAGCCAUUGAUCCAAAUAUUGGUAUGCCUCACAAUCAGUUAGGUACUAUAGCAGGCAAUAAAAAUUAUGGGCUGGAUGCAGUCUAUCAUUACAUGAGAAGCAUUUUGUGUCCUGAACCAUUCGAAGGAGCAGAAGGAAAUCUAAAAAAAAUCGUAAUAACUCAUUCUACUUAUACGGACGAAAGCAAUUCUGUCCAUCAUUGCGUAUCGCGAUUAUUUUCUUUAUUACGUUUAUGGGAUUUUGAAAAUCCACAUUCUGACAGAAUAAAUCAAGAAUGCCAGGAUCUCUUAACUGAUAUUGAGAAUUGUUUAGCAGCGGAACAAGUCGAGCCAAAUAAUACAAAUUGUCUAGAAAAUGUGGAUAAUAUAGAAAUAUAUCUUCAAAAUUGUAAAAACAGACCAACGCUUUACUUAACAGACGAUAUGAUAUUUAAGAUUGUGACAAUAUGCCUAAUGUCAAUUUCUAGAUUAAAGAACAAAGAAUCCAAUGAAGUACAGGGUGUUGUUGCUAUAACUUUAGCAAUACUGUCACAAUUGUUAGAAUUUAUAAUAAAGAAAUUACAAGAAACGAUUAUAGAUAUGGGAAUGCCUGAUGUAGAAGCAAUUGUGCAAGCAAAGGAUCAGGAGUCAUCUAAAUUGGAAAAUGGAGGUCAUAUAGAGGAAAAGGAUUCUAUUUCGAGCAAAGACAAUAAUAUACUCAAUUUAGAUGAGAAUAACAAAAAAUCAUCCGAUAAUGGAAUCGUGAAUAAACCAGGUCUCAAAAAGAUUCGCGACAAAUCGAAAAAUCUUCUCAAUAAGCUUCGUAGACGAAAAAGGAGAACUAGUUCCGAUUCGGAUGCGAGCGAUAUAGAUCAGUCAACAUUGGCAUCAUCUAGUGAUGAAAUCAACUCUGAUGUGUCCGAGACUGAGGAGGAUGAUGCACUGAGUGAAGGAAACGACGCAUUAUCGGACGAUAAUACGGAGGACGAGGAAUCAUCGCCAGAAAAUAAAAUCGAAUCUAGCGAAAACGCAGUGAAAAUAACGAAAGAAAAGAUGAAUGGUCAUAGUAGCGAUGUCACUGAGAAAUCUGAAAAUUGUGACAAGGAUAAUACAAGCCAUUUGGUUAACGGUCAACAGCACACCACCGAUCAGCAGACGGACUCGAAAACAAGUGAUAAGGAUUCCAUAACGAAUUCCAGCAGCGUCGUGACGAUGAACACAAAUUCAACUAACACUUUGGAGGAGGGUAAUGAUGGCAUGUGUAACGCGGAUAUCUCUUACAUGGCACAAUUGAAGAAGCGAAGUUUAAAGCCGGACGACAUUUUAAACAUGUUGAUCGGCAAGGAGAUUCUUGUUUCUAUCAAAGUAUGCUGUGAUUGGUUACGAAGUAAUCCUGACAUCAUAAGAAUAUGCGCCAAGAGUUCACGGACAUUACUGAAGCGUGUUACGAUUUUACUAAAUCUGAUUGACGUGGAUAUCGAAGCUGUUGUACAAGGACAUGAGGAUUCCACGAUUUUAUCGAGUGUGGAAAGAUUAAAAGAAUGCGUGAAGAUAAUACCUCUACCGGAGGAUAUUGACCUCCGAGGAUUGAACUUGCUGGAAAACGCACAUAAAUCUCUUGAUUGGCAAAUACUACGUAAACACAAAAUGAACAAGCGGGAAGAAACGUUGCUGAGGAUAUUGAAGUUACUUGAGUUUGGACAUCAUCUCUGUUCCGUCGAAGAUUCAAGAGUACGAUACAAUCGAAUCGAACGAUUGUUCGUCGUAACGGACGCGAAUCUCUCGAAUGCCCCUAAAGUAACAGGUCUGGAUGACAAAAACUUUGGGCCGGAGCAUUCGAAAGGAAAGCUUAUGAGACACAUGGGUAGAUUGUGGCUAAACGCUGAGGUUCGAGCUCUGGAAAGCCAGUUACGAUCUCGAUUGAUAUCGCCGUAUCUCGUCCCCGAUCAUGAAGCUUUAGCUAAGCAUACGCCGGCUCUUAAACGCUUGGUGUACGCAAAGAAGUUUAUAGUAGUGAUUCCCGCGGUUGUCGUUUCUGCUUUGGACGAGGUGAAACGCGUAAGCGCCCAGGCGAGAGAAGCUACACGGUGGUUGGAAAUUCAAUUGAGGCGCGGCUCAAGAUUCCUACGGGCGCAAAGACCUCACGAGCGUUUGGCGUUACCAUUAAUAAAAGGACCAAGACCAAAGGACAAAGAAGCAUGGUUGUUUUUCCAAAUAAUAGAAUGCUGUCACUACCUUACUCAGCAGGCAAAAGUGGGUUUUACCGGUGACGGGGAGGUACCGGUUGUGACCCUUCUGACUGGUUGUAAACCAGACGAUAGGAAAGCUCUGACUUUCAGUCCUGAUGGAUUAGCAAAAAGUGCAGGUGUUAAUCUUGAGCAUAUAGAAUCAUUUCAAAUAAAAUGGAAAUCGUCGUUUAAGAGUUACGGUUGAGCAAAAUACAUCACCCUUGCGUGAUUAUCUGUCGCUGAUCUCAUCCGGAGGUAUUGCUCAUCGUUCGGGUGCUACGUAAGCGGAUUCUCAGCCGACCAAAAGACAAGCCACGGCAUGAGGGUUGGAAACCCGCGCAUACGAAACGGAAAAUCGACAGAGUACUCUCGUACUGCCCAUAAAAAAUGUCAUUUUCCACCGCACACAGAAGAACUCUAACCCUCUAUUACCUGGCGAGAUGCGGCUAUUUGCAGACGUGAAUUAAUACGCUGCCGAAGAACAGAAAGCAUGAUUUAAUCGACGAUUACAAAUUUGAAAUAAAAAGAUUAUCUAAACUCGAGAUAACUUUGUAAACGUGAAAAAAAAUAUGUCUAAUCUUA